rfam:Branchiostoma floridae genomic scaffold BRAFLscaffold_113, whole genome shotgun sequence.
ACCCCGGCCCUUUUCAGGGCCACCCACAUCCUUACAAAAGAACUAU